AAACUGAAGAAAUUAACUGAUGAUUCACUCUUUAGGUAACAGAACCUACCUGUACAAAUAGCUUUACUGGAUGGUGUGAUGGCUCCAUGAAAUAGUAUCCUGCAGCCAAGACCAUCCUCAAGGAGGUUAAUGAAUGUGGCACCACA